UAUCCCACCUGCGCAGCAACACUGUCUGUCUGGGGGCUGUGCACACGUGAAGUGCUGCGCAAAGGCAUAAAAGUCUAUUUGAAGCGAAAAUCUACUGAAGUGAGACUUUGUCCUUAUGUUUUUUUUAUGUUUGAGUUUCAACUGCUACGGAAGAGAACAUGAAGCAGCUACUAGUCAGUCUCUCUCAAUCGCACAGCACCGUAAAUCCAGAGAACAACAGACUUUGAUGACAAAAUGUGCCCACGAAGGACCGCCGCGCCACCUUCCUGUUCAAGUGAGCACAGCACAACAAGUUACCUCUCUUGCUCCUGUUCCACAUCUCACCACCUUCCUCUGGAUAUCACUCACCACCAUUACCUUGGAUUCCCCUCAGGACCUGUUCCCCUGUUCUACUCAGCCAACUUGAACCUCACUCUACACUCCUGGUUUUUGCAACUCGUCUGAGCUACACCGGUUCUGCACUCCCCAUUUCUGUGUUCAAAAAAAAUAAUUGCAUUCAUCCCGGCUUCCUCUUCUGAGUCCGCUCUUGGGUUCCCCCCUUCGCUCAUCGUAACACCCUUUAUGCCAUAGCUUGUACAUCUCAAUUGUCAGUAGAAACCACAUUUGAUUAAGCAAGUCAGCCAUAUCAGCUAUGUUUUUUUUAUUUUUUAAAGGCAACAAAUGAAGCUGAAUGAAUUGUUUCGCUGCCAGGCAAGGCUCUGUUGAUACCAAGGUGUAGCAGUGGUAAGGUGUUGGGACUGCUGUUGGGACUCUGCUGUUGGGACAGCUUUAUGUAGGCCCUAACAGUUUGUGGACACUGUUUAUAACCAUUAUAGUGCAAUUAAUGUAUUGUUUAGAGUUAUGUUGUAUAGUGGUUUUGCUUGCAUGCAUACCACCACUUUUUUUUUUUUUUGCCCCACCAAGAUUGUGAUGCUAAAAUCUCCACUGCAUUUAGCUAACAUUACAUAGUUCAUCCAGCGAUUCUUACCUUUGCCUCAAUUCGGCAGUCUCGUCCAGAUCAUGGCAUUUGUAGUUAUUUAUGAUAGCCACAUUAUCAGCUAAUUAACAUUUAAUUUGCUGGGGGGUAAAUACAGGUUAAAUAUAAUAAUUUACUUUUGUUUUAUCAUCUUGUGGUACAAACAUAAUGAACAUCAACAUGGGAAACAUGAUAUGCAGUUUAAGCUAAUAAACGGUGGGCAAAUUAUGUUAAUUGUGUUGAAAUGUUCAUAGAAAGGGCCUGAGCUCAAAUGCAAUAUUCAAACCACUAGAGG